AACUUUUCAAAACAAAAAAGGGAACUAUUGGCCAGAAACUCAGGGAGCUGAUGCAGCACAUGAGCUGGAUGACACCAGACGUCACAGUACUUCGCUCUGUUGUCCUCAAAGGCAUUCCCAUUUUACUCGGUGAUGACUCCAGUGAAUUCUACAAGACCUGCUCUGAUACAGAGAGAGACGAGGCCCUAGAAUGCAUCACUGUUGGUGUGCUGACAGUUGUCAGUGAAGAUGGUCCUCACGAGGGUCAAAGCUCAGUGGACCUC